UUGAUCUAUAUUUACAGUCAUUAAAAUAAAAAAAGAAUGAUAAUAUUUCACUGGAGUGAUUAUGGAAGAUUUCAUCACUGGCCAUUUAUUCACUUUAUUAAAAAAGGGUAAAAGGCAUUAAAAUGUAUCAAACAAUUAGAAAGCAGCCCAUUUUAAAGCUUCCCAUUUAAAGCUUCCCUCUACUCUCUGUUAUUAAAAUGUGAUUAAAUUCUAGUAAUUUGGAAGUGAUUGUUCUGAAGUAAAAGUUGUUUUAGCAUCAGACUCUGAUGCUGGGCCAUAUUCUUUUGUUUGUGGCAAGUUCACCAACUAUGAAAUAUUAAAUGUCAUUGCUUAGAGCACUUCCAAUUAAACCAAAGGGAGUAACCUGAAUGAACUUCUUAAUAUUGAUGUGAUAAAUAAACUAGUUUCCAGUAGCUAAUUAUGUAUUUUAUUCUAUAAAGCAUUGUUUAAUGUGCAAGAUUGUAAUGUUUUUAAUAAGUGCUGUUUUUGUAUAAUUUCCCAGUGGUGACACUUUGGACACAAUUAAGGUCAGAAAUAAAUGCUUGUGCUGUUUCCAGUACAUUUAACAAUAAAGUAACUCUGGGGAGAUCUGUAUAUAUUUUUAAUUGUAACAAUUUAACCUUCAAACAGCAGUGUCUAGUAGAGUUGACCCAGUAAAACUACUUGUAAUUAUACAAGUUGACCCCACUGACCUUUGAUAGUGGUCUCUCUUUAUCAGAUAGUCAAUUUCGAAUGAUGUUCAAGCAGAAAUCUUAGUGGAUAGAUUAAAUUGUGUAGUGAAAGCAACCCUUUAAUGUUUUGUGAAGUUGAAGGUUUAAAUGAGGAGCAGUUGGACUGAUUUACAUUUGCAAAGAUUGGAAUGCUAGACAAACAGUGAACCUAUUUAUUUUCCAACUGGGUAGCUUUGGAAAUUUAUCCUUAUUCUAGCUAAGUAGAUAGAGGGGAAAAUAGUGUAAUAAAAAAAGUAGAUUGAAAAGAAUUAGCUUUCCUCUUAAAGGAAGAUUGGUCUGUUUAUUUGUGGAAUUUACUUUUUUUUUUCCCCAGGAUUACUGCCUGCUGAUGAUGUCGAUUGAAAGUACAGACUAAGCACUGAUCUUGAAAUCCUGGAGUUUGUGGCCAAGGCUAUUGGAUACAAUGAACAUUCGAGUUUGAACCUUAAAUUUUCUUAUGAAUGCGUAACAAGUUUUCCAAACUGGCCUGCAGUGCUGAGAUACAGUUAUUGAAAAAGCUACAAUAAGAAGAUGAAGAGAAAAGCAAGAAACCGUGAAAUACAGGAUAACAUACGUGAACUAAAAGUAGAAAUAUGUAUUUUUAAGUGAUUGAAGUAGAUAUUUCAUCUAAUCACUAUAGCAUCCCUGCUCUAAUUUUCAGCCUGUCAAAAAAACCUGUCAGCUGCAAAGGCGAUAAGGGGGGCAGUUUAAAGAAGAUACUGGAGCCUUAAGCUUCUUAAUGUGCCAAGAAUCAAUCCCAUGAAAGCAAACAACUUGAAAAAGGGUUAUAUGUAUUUAGGAAAGCUCUCAGGCUCCCUUCCCGCUCCGCUCCAGCCAGAGCGAGUGUUCAAGUUUUCUCACCCUGAUGACCCCUGAAGCAGCCCGGAGGGAUUGCAAAACAAGGCCGUUACACAAGGCAGCUUGCUAAUUGAGAAGUUGAUCGGGGGUAGAGAAAUCCUGCUUUACCACGUUAAGUGUCGAAAUCAAGCAUGACUAGAUUGACGUCGCCAAAUCACCGUCUGGAGGCCACUCCACGCCAGGAGCAGCCGGGCUUUUCACACCUGAUAGGCCCUCACUCUAUCUACAUCAAGUCACAUUAAGAAAGGAAUGUAUUACGGAACUGGAGCCCGCGCCCAAAGAGCUUACUCCACUGCCUAAUUGCUACUUCUCCGCUUCCUGCAAGAAACAAACCUGUCCGGCAGCUUAAACCUGUUCCCCCUGGAAAACCAGCAUUCCUCCACCCACUCUGCUGAUUUUUGUUAUAAUCCGGUUAUAGCACCAAACCCCGGAAUGAGUUAGGGGAACGCAGUAGGGUUAGAAAUGUCAUAUUACGCAUCUCAAUGACAUUGAUCUAAAUCACAGAACCCCUGGAACAGUUUUAUAAACAGUGACUUUUUAAAGCUUUUGUUUUCUUCUUCUUCCUCUUCCCCCCCCCCCCUUUUAAAUGAAAUUGCAGACUCACGAUGUAUGAUCAGUGAAAUGCCUGAAACCAGAUAGUGAUUUAGACUCCACACCGGUAUGAGGAAGAGACUGGAGACCUUCUGCUUUUGAACUCUGAGUCCCCAGUCACGGCUUUGCUGCUCUCCAACCUAAAAUCCCCUGUGACAGAUGGCAUAAUAGAUAUUCCGGACAUCCCAUACUGGCAGGCUGAUAUUACUUGGUAUUUUUUCCUACGCUCUGUUUCUGACAGGUUCAAAGCACUUAACCAACAAAGUGUUUUAGGUGGGGAGGUGCAGUGAGAACCUGAAUAAGGAACUUCCCCCUAUUUCUAACACUUUCAAAUUAAAUUAAAAAAAAUUUUUUACCACUUUUCAAUUUUAAAUCUCAGUUUUCUUACUGAGACGAUGGGGUUAAUUUCAAUCUGUCCUCUAUUAACUACAGGGCACACAGGGAAAUAAAUAGCCUUUUUUCCAACUGCAAGGAUUUUUUUUUUUUUGGUCAUUAAAAAACAUUCUUUUAUAAACUUAUAAUGUGAAAAUUAAUCUUUCCCAUACUUAUUUGCGAGGUGGUGGGUGAAAGUCAUUUUAAGGGUGGGGAAACUGAGGCACAGAGGUAACAGUGACUCACCUCAGAUCUUAGUCAAUUAGUAGCAGUGAUGGAAACCUGGAAGUCUAUGUUUUCUGACACCCAGACUGGUGCUCACUCCAUAUGAGACUUCUUGCCCUUAAUCCAAGUAUGAUGGAUAAGAUAUUGUGAUAAACUGGUAACAAAGAGAAACAAACAAAAAACAUACAAGGGAAAAGGUAUUUUCUUACCUUGCAAAUGAUGACGGGGCAAUCCAUUGUACUCUACAACCCAACGCUGACUUCCAAGUUAUAAUCUAAAAACUUACUAUGAUACUUGUCAUAUAUUUAUAAAAAGCUCAACAUUCUCUUUUAGAGCUCAAAAUUAGUAAACAAACCCACAAGAAUUAAACCCCACUAAAAUUGAGGAUUUACUGAUUUUAGAAAACACAAACAUAAGAUCAGUUUUCACACUGAAGGUAAACCUGUCUACAAUAGAAUUUUUAAUGGACCAAGCAACUAAAAGACUAACUUCUCUCUGAAAAUAAUACCUCAUCCAAUUAGACAAACCUGUCAAAAGAUUUUCCUGUGCUUAUAUUGCAAAGAAACAUCUCAAAUCAACAUCAAUAUGAAAGCUGGUCAAUUAUGUAAGGGCUUAGCACGUAAAGGUGAAUGUUUAUUCAGCCCUGACUCUGCACCUGACACUGUUGUAAGCAUUUUACAUGGGUUGUCUCAUUAAUCUUCACAACAGCCAAAUUAGCAGGUGGCAGUUU